rnacentral:rRNA from 1 species
UACGUAGGUGCGAGCGUUAAUCGGAAUUACUGGCGUAAAGCGUGCGCAGGCGGUUGUGCAAGACAGAUGUGAAAUACCCCGGGCGUUAACCUGGGAACUGCAUUUGUGACUGCACGGCUAGAGUGUGUCAGAGGGGGGUAGAAUUCCACGUGUAGCAGUGAAAUGCGUAGAUAUGUGGAGGAAUACCGAUGGCGAAGGCAGCCCCCUGGGAUAACACUGACGCUCAUGCACGAAAGCGUGGGGAGCAAACAGGAUUAGAUACCCUUGUAGU